rnacentral:rRNA from 1 species
UACGGGGGGAGCAAGCGUUGUUCGGAUUUACUGGGCGUAAAGGGCGCGUAGGCGGUCAGCGCAAGUCAGUUGUGAAAUCUCCGGGCUUAACUCGGAAAGGUCAACUGAUACUGUGCGACUAGAGUGCAGAAGGGGCAACUGGAAUUCUCGGUGUAGCGGUGAAAUGCGUAGAUAUCGAGAGGAACACCUGCGGCGAAGGCGGGUUGCUGGGCUGACACUGACGCUGAUGCGCGAAAGCCAGGGGAGGCGAACGGG